AAUUAAUAUAUUCCCUGUGUAAGUCUGGAGGCACCAUUUAGUACAUCAGCAAGGUCAGCAUCUCAGCAUAUCCUCCUUCAUCGUGUUAUAGAUUCUCAGACAAGAAAAACAACAUUAACAUAAGAAUAAAAGAUGAUGCAAUAAGAAGAAAAGCAACUAGACACAACGAGAAGCUAAAAAUAGUGAAUUGUCUCUUCAACAGUUGACAAAUAUAAACAAAUGAAGUUGACAACUACAUUAAACAUAGCCAUUGAGAAAUGUAAAUAAAAACACCCACCGUCUUUCCUGAUGUGCAAAG
rnacentral:misc_RNA from 1 species